CGCAACUUGCGAGCGUGGACAAGACACCACGUCUCUGUUUCACUCCCCGCCCUGCUUUCUCCUCACACACAAAGACAUUUUACUCUAGAGAUCUGUCCACGUGGUCUCUUCUGAAGAUAAAACAAAGAUGCUGAAAGGAGGGGAGAGAAGCUGCCAAGGAGAAUUCCAGCCCUGUGAGUCGCAGGGCAAGACUGAUGGAGUGUGCAGAGCCUGUCUGACCUACAACCACACUGCCAAUGAUGAGAGGAACAGAUCUCUGUUUGUAUUUCUGGCUUGGACUCUUUGAAUAGCCCACUCUGAUUAGAACCAGCUGGAUCUUCUGGCUUCCAAACAGCAGCACAGCUCUGGGUCAAAAGACACCCUGUUAAACCCCGCCCACAGGAGGAGCUUAAUACUGCAGGGGCGGAGACAUCAAAAACCCUGACCCCAUCAUCCAUAAUUUGCUGUGUUUAGCCAAUUACUAUGCUAAGAUAGUUGAAAUGAUGAUGGGCACAAUUGUGAACAGCUGAAUCCUUUGAGCUGCUUGUUUUGCUCAGCUACCACGUGCAUCAUCUCUUCCACUGCAUUGCUACAGACCUUUUGCUAACAUGGUAUGAAUGAGGCUAGUUAAGAUACUUGAAACCAUCAGACCAAAUCUGCUGAUUGCUUUCCCAGUAAAAAAAAUACCUUAAAAACUCUUUAAAGACACUGGAAAACAAUGAUUCUCUCCUUGCAUUCCUGCCUUAAUUGACAUUUUUAAAUUAGAUUUUAUUUUAAUAUUUUCUGUUUUCACCUUGAUUUUAUUGAAUGUUUUAGUCAUUUUAUUUAG
ensembl:lncRNA